rnacentral:rRNA from 1 species
GACGAACGCUGGCGGCGUGCCUAACACAUGCAAGUCGAGCGGGGAUCGCAGUAAUGUGAUCUUAGCGGCGGACGGGUGAGUAACGCGUGAGCAAUCUGCCCUUCACUGGGGGAUAACACAGGGAAACUUGUGCUAAUACCCCAUAAUAUCACGAUAUGGCAUCAUAAUGUGAUCAAAGGAGAAAUCUGAUGAAGGAUGAGCUCGCGUCCGAUUAGCUAGUUGGUGGGUAAAGGCCUACCAAGGCGACGAUCGGUAGCCGAACUGAGAGGUUGAUCGGCCACAUUGGGACUGAGACACGGCCCAGACUCCUACGGGAGGCUG